AGAGUGGAAAAUGGCGGCCUCCUUGCUGCUUGCGUUACCAGAGUCCACCCGGCCUCGUGCUUUCUCCGGGCGCCCGUAGCUGGCGCCGGCAUCCACAAAAAUAGAUCAGAUAGAGGAUGAAUAAAGAGGAAGCUCCAGGCUGUGAAGUGUCUAAUCCUUGCUCCCCUCAGAAGUUGGGACAUGUUGGACCAAGGUGGUAAGGAUAGUGAGAGGCCAAAGAUUUAACAAUACACUGUGAUGCUGGGGCUGGGAGGAGAUUGCACCUUUAUAGCCUGGUGGUGGCAGUCCAGAGUGCAACCCCUAGAGAUGGCAACUUGACAAGACCUCUCAAAAAACACUACACACAGCUUUUGCGCCCCUCAUCCCACUUCUGAGAGUAAGUCCUAUGGCAACAUGUGCACACAUGGAAAAUAAAGUCUGUACAAGUUUCCCAGAAGCUGGACAAGCCACGACGGCGCCUUCCAAUAAAAGGGGAACUCCAGAGACGCUAUGAGAAAAGAGGAACAGACAUCUGCAAUAGAUAUCUGCAACUUCCUUUUCAAAAACACCAUCGGCAUUGCUUUCUCAGGAAGCCACUGCCAGCCUAUUGUGAUAGCUGACACUGAGUUCCUGAAAAUUCUCUAAUUAGGAUCCCAGACUGGAGGGUCAGCCAGUGGUUAACAUAUAAUGGACACAAAACUGAUUUUACUGGAAGACUGAGGGUGGGCACUCACUAUGGUUCUAAGCAUUACUCAGAAGAUCCAUAAAAACAUUACAGUUCUGUUGUGUAAGAGUUUAGGAAAAAAAGAAAAUCCUGACAAAAAUCCCAACCUAAAAAACAGUGUCAACAUUUGUAAGUAGGAUGGGGAGGCAGAGAUGAAUUGGCGGCGUUAUCACAGCUACUGGACUAUGUGGACUUUAACAAAGUAAGAAACGGGUGGGGGUUGGGUGGUGGUAUCCUAAUAGAGCAGGAGUAGAGAUGGAUGUGCUGGGGCAGAAUGGGUACCAAUGCUGCCUGAAGCCUGGAGCUGGGAGCUGAGGACUAAGAGGUAGACAGGAGGGUGGGGACCCGUACCUGCUCCAAGGAACUGGUGCCCCAGAACUGGUGAACUGGGGUAUGCAUUUAGCUCAUUCGUUUACCAGAAUGCAGUCACCACCUGAUGAAAGAAAUGACUAAUGGCAGGACUUGAACAGUUCUCUAUAAAUGAGUACCUGGGAGAAAAACAGGUCUCCAGGCUCCACAAUACCCAACAAACACACUGCCUUUAGCCCAUUUCAAGCUGCACUUCUUACACGGAACCCAACCCAACCAACCUCAGAGGUAAGGGUGAGAGCAGGCAAUGAACAGCUAUGAUUCUCCAUUCCCUGGCCAGGCAGGGAGCCUUUCCAUCCACCCUCGUGAGACUGCUUGUAACAGAAAUAAGGAAACCAACUCCAAGGCUCAGUAACCCACCCAAGGUCAGAACCACUGAGUGGCAGGGCCUGUGAGCCACAAAGGAGACUGAAAACCAGAAAGAGCUUCUCUCUGGUCUGUUAUUUUAAGAAAAACAUGCCCAGAGGGGCCACCUGGAAGCAAGGCUGUGGCACCCUCACCUUCCUAAUUAAACAACAACUUCCCAGGAGCAACAACAGCAACAAAAGCCUGGCCCAGCAGAUGAACUGGAAUCCAAGCCUUUCCCCUAUACGGGUCAGUUUCGGCACUAACACCUACUUAGUUUGGGUACUACUUUACCUGCUGUGAAGUCUACUGGGAUCUUCCAGGAAAGUCCUACCUCAUUAGUAAAAAGAAAAACAAAGACUCAGGAAGAAAGUUCCUGCCCUCCCUGUUGAAUGCUGUGUGAGGAUA
rnacentral:antisense_RNA from 1 species